GGGGUUCUUCUCCUUGAACUCCUUACGGAACUCCUCCAUAAAAACGAAGAAAGCGGAGGGAGCCCUCUUGGGCUUGUUGGGGUCCUUGCCGGCCUUCCCCUUCCUGCCCUUGGCGGCGGGCUUCUCCGCGCCCUUACUCUUCACAGCCAACUUGGCGUCGGGCUUGGCGGCGCCCUUGGAUUUGGCCCCCUUCAUGGCUGAAUCCUCACCUGGGGAGAGUCUGGCGCUCUCUCUCUUGUGAGAGGGGGGAAGAGAGGAGGGGAAAGGAGAGGAGGAAGGAGAGGGGAGACAGGGACACACCC
rnacentral:misc_RNA from 1 species